rnacentral:tRNA from 2 species
AGCCCUAUAGUGUAAUGGCAAUCACGGGAGGCCUUGAACCUCCAGAAGUGGGUUCGAUUCCUGCUAGGGCUA